UUUAUCGCAUAACUCCGAGCUUGUUUAGCCUAAGUUUUUUAAUACGGCGACAAUGCCAAUAAUACUAUCGUAUUAUUCAGGGAUAGAUUGGAAACGAUUUAUCCUCUCCAUAUUUAGAAAGGUGUCUAAUGCAAUCAAUU
rnacentral:ncRNA from 1 species